UGGGGAGUCGCCAAGUGGUAAGGCACACGGUUCUGGUCCGUGUAUCCGGGGUUCGAAUCCCUGCUCCCCAG
rnacentral:tRNA from 2 species